AGCGAACGCUGGCGGCAGGCCUAACACAUGCAAGUCGAACGAUCCUUCGGGAUAGUGGCGGACGGGUGAGUAACACGUGGGAACGUGCCUUUUGGUUCGGAACAACUCAGGGAAACUUGAGCUAAUACCGGAUGUGCCCUUCGGGGGAAAGAUUUAUCGCCAUUAGAGCGGCCCGCGUCUGAUUAGCUAGUUGGUGGGGUAAAGGCCUACCAAGGCGACGAUCAGUAGCUGGUCUGAGAGGAUGAUCAGCCACAUUGGGACUGAGACACGGCCCAAACUCCUACGGGAGGCAGCAGUGGGGAAUCUUGCGCAAUGGGCGAAAGCCUGACGCAGCCAUGCCGCGUGAAUGAUGAAGGUCUUAGGAUUGUAAAAUUCUUUCACCGGGGACGAUAAUGACGGUACCUGGAGAAGAAGCCCCGGCUAACUUCGUGCCAGCCGCCGCAGUAA
rnacentral:rRNA from 1 species